rnacentral:tRNA from 1 species
GGAGAGGUGAGCGGAAUGGUAUCGCAACCGCCUUGAAAGCGGUCUCACCUGGGAACGGGUGUGCGGGUUCGAGUCCUGUCCUCUCCG